rnacentral:rRNA from 1 species
GACGAGGGGUCCAAGCGUUGUUCGGAAUCAUUGGGCGUAAAGCGGGUGUAGGCGGCUCUAUAAGUCAGGAGUGAAAGCCCCGAGCUUAACUUGGGAAGUGCUUUUGAUACUGCAGAGCUUGAAUGUGGGAGAGGUUAGUGGAAUUCCUGGUGUAGUGGUGAAAUGCGUAGAGAUCGGAGGAACACCUGUGGCGAAGGCGGCCACCUGGGCCGACCCUGAACGCUGAGGC